UACGAAGGGGGCUAGCGUUGCUCGGAAUCACUGGGCGUAAAGGGUGCGUAGGCGGGUCAUUAAGUCAGGGGUGAAAUCCUGGAGCUCAACUCCAGAACUGCCUUUGAUACUGAAGAUCUUGAGUUCGGGAGAGGUGAGUGGAACUGCGAGUGUAGAGGUGAAAUUCGUAGAUAUUCGCAAGAACACCAGUGGCGAAGGCGGCUCACUGGCCCGAUACUGACGCUGAGGCACGAAGGCUAGGGGAGCAAACGGG
rnacentral:rRNA from 1 species